GACGAACGCUGGCGGCGUGCCUAAUACAUGCAAGUCGAACGAGAGCGACCGGUGCUUGCACUGGUCAAUCUAGUGGCGAACGGGUGAGUAACACGUGGGUAACCUGCCCAUCAGAGGGGGAUAACAUCCGGAAACGGAUGCUAAAACCGCAUAGGUCUUCGAGCCGCAUGGCUUGAAGAGGAAAAGAGGCGCAAGCUUCUGCUGAUGGAUGGACCCGCGGUGCAUUAGCUAGUUGGUGAGGUAACGGCUCACCAAGGCCGUGAUGCAUAGCCGACCUGAGAGGGUGAUCGGCCACAUUGGGACUGAGACACGGCCCAAACUCCUACGGGAGGCAGCAGUAGGGAAUCUUCCGCAAUGGACGCAAGUCUGACGGAGCAACGCCGCGUGAGUGAAGAAGGUUUUCGGAUCGUAAAACUCUGUUGUUAGAGAAGAACAAGUGCUAGAGUAACUGUUAGCGCCUCGACGGUAUCUAACCAGAAAGCCACGGCUAACUACGUG
rnacentral:rRNA from 1 species